rnacentral:misc_RNA from 1 species
AACUGAUACUACCUGCGGGAACCUGCGGAAGGAUCAUUACAGAGUUGCAAAACUCCCUAAACCAUUGUGAACGUUACCUAAACCGUUGCUUCGGCGGGCGGCGCGCCCUCGCGCGCGCCCCUGGGCCCCACCGCGGGCGCCCGCCGGAGGUCACCAAACUCUUGAUAUUAAUUGGCCUCUCUGAGUCUUCUGUACUGAAUAAGUCAAAACUUUCAACAACGGAUCUCUAGAUCGGAAGAG